AUUGAAAGCUUGUUUCUUGGAAAACAAAACUAUUUUACUUGGUCUCUUUGUUAUGCCUUCCUUAGGACUUUCAUUUUGCUCUCUGUUAUUGAAGGCAAAGCUCACUCUGGUCUACACUUCAUAUUUGAUCGUUUUUCACCAUUCAGAAGCCUAAAGCUGAAGUUUUAUGGCCAUUCCAAUUUAUGUAAACGUCCGAGUAUUCUACGUUUCCUGCAACUGGAUGCCACCUAAUAGGGGGGAUAAGGAGCCGCAAGAACAGCAGAACCCGCCUCACGGUCUGAUCAGCAGAGCUGCUGGGUAGAUGUCUGAAUUCUUUCACUGAAUGGAUACGGCUCUCCCUGAACACGCAUCUCCUGAAGGCUGCACAGUAGCCAAGGGGAUUCUUCAACUCAUGCCACCAGUCUGGUUUCACCAGCAAUAAAAGGCACAGAAAUUAUGAAUUUCUUAGCUGGUGACUGAGAUUCUUCAAGAGGUGUGUCUUACUCCAGGACUUUUAAAUACUAAUCUGGUAAGCUUUCCCCCCAUAAUCCUAAAGACUAGAACAGCUCCUUGGACUGAUUAAGACACAAUAAUGAUCUUUUUGUUUGAGAUUGACUAAGUAAGCAUGUAAUGGUUGUCAGAGCUACCAGAAAGCGGUUACUCCUAUAUAUAGAAUUUCGAUUCAGUCUGGAU